GACGAACGCUGGAGGCGUGCUUAACACAUGCAAGUCGAACGAUGAAAUGGAGCUUGCUCCAUGGAUUAGUGGCGAACGGGUGAGUAUCACGUGAAUAACCUGCCCUUAAUUUUGGAAUAACCCAGGGAAACCUGAGCUAAUACCGAAUAAGUAAACCUGUGGCAUCACAUGGUUUUGGAAAGUUUUUCGAUUAAGGAUGGAUUCGCGGCCUAUCAGCUUGUUGGUGAGGUAACGGCUCACCAAGGCGACGACGGGUAGCCGGCCUGAGAGGGUGAACGGCCACACUGGGACUGAGACACGGCCCAGACUCCUACGGGAGGCAGCAGUGGGGAAUAUUGCGCAAUGGACGAAAGUCUGACGCAGCGACGCCUCGUGAGGGACGAAGGUCUUCGGAUUGUAAACCUCUUUCAGCAGGGACGAAGCGAAAGUGACGGUACCUGCAGAAGAAGCACCGGCUAACUAUGUG
rnacentral:rRNA from 1 species